GUUUGGUUCAGAGCCUGUAUCUUGUUUCAGGUGACGACACAUUUACAAAAUCACACAGUUAUCUAGACCUGUAUACGGAACAUAAUUCAUCAGCAAAAAGAUAAGGGAUGCCAAGGAGUAUUAAAGCUCAAUCACAAAAACGAGCCUUUUAGCCAAUUAAGAUUAAGUAUUUUCCAAACAGUCACUACAUACCAGUGUUACAAUCUCCUACUGUCACUUGUUUAUAAUUAGCAUAUAAAUCUAGUAGUUCUUGGUCUGUAGGUUUUUGAACUAAUUGUUUUGCAUCAUUUGCAGCUUUCUGAAAUUCCU